rnacentral:misc_RNA from 1 species
AAACAAGCGCAGCGAAGGCCGCACUCGCACACGCACGCCCCUUCCCCCCGCAUACGACGAGCCGCAAAGAGUCGCUGCCGCAUUGCCUUCAACUUUUUUUUUAUGUUUGCUCUUCUCCUUUCCUCUUCUGUUUCGUCUAUUCGUUCGUUCCUGCAAUAACGCGUUUCCCUUUUCUGAAACGUUUCGAGUUUCCCGUUUCUCGCUUUCUUUUUCCUUGUGCACCUUUGCGUGCUAGCAGUGAGGAGAGGGGCGGGGGCCGCGGUGAGGUAUGCACAGACGCACAUGCACGCAUAUAUAUGUGGCUACGUAUGUGUGUGUAUGCGCGCGUGCAUGUGGAGCGAUGAAAAGAAGAAUAAAAAAAAACUGAAAUAGACUGCGAUCUUUUUCUUCUGCCUCACACAGAUCCUCUCACUGUCCUUCCCUUCCUCUUCUUUCCGCACACACGGCAACGAUCUCAUAUGGCAAUCCUCCGCGUAUUCUUAUCGACCUACGCAUGCGUAGAAGAGCGAGGCUCAUGUUCGACGUGUGCGGAUGCUGUAAAGGGUCACUGGUGUAGCCUUCAUGAGGGCUCUUGUGGUCCCACUCUCAUUUGCUCUUGCGAAGAUGCUGAAGUGAAGGACCGACAGUUGUUGCGGUACGACCUGUGCCGUGUAGCUCUUUCCUCUGGGCAUCAUUAGCUGAUGGCUUGAUUCUCAUCAUCCCCCCUGCACCUAUUCUUUCUCUAACUGUUGCCGUGCAUGUGUACGACGGGCACGUGCGUGUGUGUUCACGCCACAUGCCACUCCCCCUCAUUCUUGGCCCUCACACUUUUUGAAAACGUGCAG